rnacentral:rRNA from 1 species
AAAUUGAAGAGUUUGAUCAUGGCUCAGAUUGAACGCUGGCGGCAGGCCUAACACAUGCAAGUCGAACGGUAACAGGAAGCAGCUUGCUGCUUCGCUGACGAGUGGCGGACGGGUGAGUAAUGUCUGGGAAACUGCCUGAUGGAGGGGGAUAACUACUGGAAACGGUAGCUAAUACCGCAUAAUGUCGCAAGACCAAAGAGGGGGACCUUCGGGCCUCUUGCCAUCGGAUGUGCCCAGAUGGGAUUAGCUUGUUGGUGGGGUAACGGCUCACCAAGGCGACGAUCCCUAGCUGGUCUGAGAGGAUGACCAGCCACACUGGAAC